rnacentral:rRNA from 1 species
AUUGAACGCUGGCGGCAGGCCUAACACAUGCAAGUCGAGCGGAUGAAGGGAGCUUGCUCCUGGAUUCAGCGGCGGACGGGUGAGUAAUGCCUAGGAAUCUGCCUGGUAGUGGGGGAUAACGUCCGGAAACGGGCGCUAAUACUGCAUACGUCCUGAGGGAGAAAGUGGGGGAUCUUCGGACCUCAUGCUAUCAGAUGAGCCUAGGUCGGAUUAGUUAGUUGGUGGGGUAACGGCCUACCAAGGCGACGAUCCGUAACUGGUCUGAGAGGAUGAUCAGUCACCCUGGAACUGAGACACGGACCAGGCUCCUACGGGAGGCAGCAGUGGGGAAUAUUAGACAGUGGGGGGAAACCUGAUCCAGCCGGGCCACGUGUGUGAAGAAGGUCUUCGGAUUGUAAAGCACUUUAAGUUGGGAGGAAGGGCAGUAAGUUGAUACCUUGCUGUUUUGACGUUACCAACAGAAUAAGCACCGGCUAACUUCGUG